rnacentral:rRNA from 1 species
GACGAACGCUGGCGGCGUGCCUAAUACAUGCAAGUCGAACGCAGUUGGGACGGGUGAGUAACACGUGGGUAACCUCCCAUCAGAGGGGAUAACACUUGGAAACAGGUGCUAAACCGAUACUGAUGGAUGAACCCGGGGUGGAUUAGCUAGUUGGUGAGGGAACGGCUCACCAAGGCGACGAUGCAUAGCCGGCCUGAGAGGAUGAUCAGCCACACUGGUACUGAGACACGGCCCAGACUCCUACGGGAGGCAGCAGUAGGGAAUCUUCGGCAAUGGGCGAAAGUCUGACCGAGCAACGCCGCGUGAGUGAAGAAGGUUUUCGGAUCGUAAAGCUCUGUUGUUAGAGAAGCGGUAUCUAACCAGAAAGCAACGGCUAACUACGUGCCAGCAGCCGCGGUAAUAC